GGCUAUUGUAAUGCAAGCUAUAAAUGAUGGCUGGGGAGGACACUGAGGAAGAUCAUUUGUACUGACAGACCUCCGUUUUGUGUCCACAUAAGCUUUUCAAACUUCAGUCAGGAUGAAGCAUGCUCAGUUUGCAGUAGUCCUUGUGACUAUAUUACUUAUUGCUUGUGUUACACCGGAGCCUGAUUCAGGUGAAGAAGAAUGGAAAUCUCUAGGAAAUCCACAGAACAGAAAUCUGUUCUACAACAUUCUCCAGUCCUACUUUAACGGAAGAGGCAUUAACUUGGUUGGCAUGGGGAGAAAAGGCAAACUGCUCGGCAAUCUGGGAGGGAAAAUAAGCUCCAACUAUGACAGAUAUCGGCAGAAGCUGGAAGACAACGACAGCUUUUAUGUGUGAAAAUGUAACUUCAUCAAUUUCAAACAGUCACUAACUCAGCUGCAAUUUCCGUUUUGAAAACCCUUCUUUGCAUACUUUCAGGCUUGUUAUUUGUAACUACCAAAAUGAAAAUGUGUUUUAAUGUUUGUUUGAUUUUUUGUUUUGUGAAAAUGUGACUAAAAAUAUAUAGGCUUUUUGACAACUGAUAACUAAAUAUAAUAUAUUUGAAUUUGACCAAUACCUAUAGAAUGACACAGCUGGAUUUAAUUCAGGUCCGGGUUUCACAUUCUUCGCGCACAUCAUGUCAUAAGAGGUAAAGUGAAAGUCUGUGUACUGAAUUUAUGCACUGAAGGGUUACAGCAUCUGCUUUUUUUAUUUUUAUUUGAAGUUGUUCCAAUCAAAUAAUGUGAUUCUUUGUGAGUUCUAUCAAGCUGUAGACAGAGAGUUUUCAACAAUUUCACCAUAAAAGGCUAAGUUGGAUCUAUGCCAAUCGCUGUUCUCUGUCAAUAUAUAUAUAUUUUUGUUAUCCUGUAUACUACCAUUAAUUCUUGGCCUGACAUGUAACAUUAGUCAGAAUGCAAAAUGUUAUAAUAAUAAAAUAUUUCAUCAUGAAUUCUGACCAGAUUUUUCAAUGUUGGGUUCUCAAUUGCUUUUCAAGAUAACAACAUUUAGAUUACAAU